rnacentral:lncRNA from 1 species
GCUACUGUGGGCUCACUGCCUAUGGGUUGUCCUGCUCUGCAAGGAACAGCUACCUUGCUGCCACUGCUGCUUCAAUAAACCUGCUUUCUUCCACCACAGGCUCGCUCUUCAGUUCUUUCCUGAGCAAAGUUAAGAACCCUCCCGGGCUAAGCCCCAAUUUUGGAGCUUGCCUGCCCUGCAUCAGUAGAAUGGGCUAACUACUUAUGGUGCACUCAGGCUAAAGAGGCUGAUGCUUGCAGGGCAGUAUUCACAGAGCACACGGUAGUUCACGGGAUGCCUCUCACCCUUGACUCAGUGCUUAAGAAAGGAGGGAAAAUGGUGAACAUGAUCAAAUCAUGGCCAUUGCCUAUUCAUCUUUUCAGUGUUGUAUGGAGGAAUAGGCAAGUAGGAGAUUGCUUUUCACAUUAAUGUCAAAGAGAAAGAUAGUUACUUGGAACUUAAAAAAAUUAAUUGUGAUAAAAUAUACAUAACAUAAAAUUUACCAUCUUAACCAUUUUUAAGUAUAGCCAAUCUCAAGAGCUCUUUCUAUCUUGUAAAACUGAAACCCUAUACCCAUUAAACAACUCCCAAUUCUCCCCUUUCCCUAACUCCUGGCAACCACAAUUCUUUCUGUCUCUAUGAAUUUGACUGCUUUGGCAUGUCAUAGAAAUAGACUCAUACAGCAUUUGUCUUUUUGCGACUGGCAUAUUUUGCUUAGCAUAAUGUCCUCAAGGUUCACCCAUGUGGUAGCAUGUGUCAGAAUUCCUCUCCUUUUGAAGGCUGAAUAAUAUUCCAUUGUGUGUAUAUACCACGUUUUGUUUAUCCAUUUGCCCAUCAAUGGGCAUUUGGGUUGCUUUUUUUGCCUCUCAUGAAUGAUGAAUAUGGGCGCACAAAUAUCUCUUCAAGACCAUGCUUUCAAUUCUCUUGGGUAUACACCCAGAAGUGGAAUUGCUGAAUCAUAUGGU